rnacentral:rRNA from 1 species
UACCCGCAGCACAAGUGGUGGUCAUUUUUAUUGGGCCUAAAGCGUCCGUAGCUGGCAUGUUAGAUGCCUGGGUAAAUCGAUGCGCUCAACGCAUCGAAUUCCGGGUACACCGGCAUGCUCGAGACCGGGAGAGGCGUGGGGUACUCGGGGGGUAGGGGUAAAAUCCUGUAAUCCUCCGGGGACGACCAGUGGCGAAGGCGCCACGCUGGAACGGCUCUGACAGUGAGGGACGAAGCCCUGGGGCGCAAACCGG